UGACUCCAUAUCAUGUAGGAGUACCCGCUGAACUUAAGCAUAC
rnacentral:rRNA from 1 species